UACAGGGGGGGCAAGCGUUGUUCGGAAUUACUGGGCGUAAAGGGCUUGUAGGUGGCCAACUAAGUCACACGUGAAAUCCCCAGGCUUAACCUGGGAACUGCGUGUGAUACUGGAUGGCUUGAAUCCGGGAGAGGGAUGCGGAAUUCCAGGUGUAGCGGUGAAAUGCGUAGAUAUCUGGAGGAACACCGGUGGCGAAGGCGGCAUCCUGGACCAACACUGACGCUGAGUGAGCGAAAGCCAGGGGAGCAAACGGG
rnacentral:rRNA from 1 species